rnacentral:misc_RNA from 1 species
GAUGAAGAACGCAGUGAAAUGCGAAAAGUAGUGUGAAUUGCAGAAUUCAGUGAAUCAUCGAAUCUUUGAACGCACAUUGCGCCCCUUGGUAUUCCAUGGGGCAUGCCUGUUCGAGCGUCAUUUGUACCUUCAAGCUUUGCUUGGUGUUGGGUGUUUGUCUCGCCUUUGCGUGUAGACUCGCCUUAAAAUAAUUGGCAGCCGGCGUAUUGAUUUCGGAGCGCAGUACAUCUCGCGCUUUGCACUCAUAACGACAGCGUCCAAAAGUACAUUUUACACUCUUGACCUCGGAUCAGGUAGGGAUACCCGCUGAACUUAAGCAUAUCAAUAAGCGGAGGA